rnacentral:rRNA from 1 species
GACGAACGCUGGCGGCGUGCUUAACACAUGCAAGUCGAACGGAAAGGCCCUGCUUUUGUGGGGUGCUCGAGUGGCGAACGGGUGAGUAACCCGUGAUUAACCUUCCCUUGACUUUGGGAUAACUUCAGGAAACUGGGGCUAAUACCGGAUAGGAGCUCCUGCUGCAUGGUGGGGGUUGGAAAGUUUCGGCGGUUGGGGAUGGACUCGCGGCUUAUCAGCUUGUUGGUGGGGUAGUGGCUUACCAAGGCUUUGACGGGUAGCCGGCCUGAGAGGGUGACCGGCCACAUUGGGACUGAGAUACGGCCCAGACUCAUACGGGAGGCAGCAGUGGGGAAUAUUGCACAAUGGGCGGAAGCCUGAUGCAGCAACGCCGCGUGCGGGAUGACGGCCUUCGGGUUGUAAACCGCUUUCGCCUGUGACGAAGCGUGAGUGACGGUAAUGGGUAAAGAAGCACCGGCUAACUACGUG